GAUGAACGCUGGCGGCGUGCCUAAUACAUGCAAGUCGAGCGAACAGAUGAGGAGCUUGCUCCUCUGACGUUAGCGGCGGACGGGUGAGUAACACGUGGAUAACCUCCCUAUAAGACUGGGAUAACUUCGGGAAACCGGAGCUAAUACCGGAUAAUAUAUUGAACCGCAUGGUUCAAUAGUGAAAGACGGUUUUGCUGUCACUUAUAGAUGGAUCCGCGCCGCAUUAGCUAGUUGGUAAGGUAACGGCUUACCAAGGCAACGAUGCGUAGCCGACCUGAGAGGGUGAGCGGCCACACUGGAACUGAGACACGGUCCAGACUCCUACGGGAGGCAGCAGUAGGGAAGCUUCCGCAAUGGGCGAAAGCCUGACGGAGCAACGCCGCGUGAGUGAGGAAGGUCUUCGGAUCGUAAAACUCUGUUAUUAGGGAAGAACAAAUGUGUAAGUAACUAUGCAUGUCUUGACGGUACCUAAUCAGAAAGCCACGGCUAACUACGUG
rnacentral:rRNA from 1 species